rnacentral:rRNA from 1 species
UACGGAGGGUGCUAACGUUGUUCGGAAUUACUGGGCAUAAAGCGCACGUAGGCGGUCUGCUAAGUCGGUCGUGAAAGCCCCCGGCUCAACCGGGGAACUGCGUUCGAUACUGGCAGGCUAGAGAACGGUUGGGGUGAGUGGAACUCCAGGUGGAGCGGUGAAAUGCGUAGAUAUCUGGAGGAACACCGGUGGCGAAAGCGGCUCACUGGACCGUCACUGACGCUGAGGUGCGAAAGCUAGGGGAGCAAACGGG